rnacentral:lncRNA from 1 species
AGUUGGGAACUUCCCAUGGUUUAUCCAGUCAAUCACUUUGCCAAUAGGUUGUAACUCCUUCGGGUGUCCAUCUGGGGCUUAUUGUGUCUCUCUAAUGAUAAAACAAAAUUCCACAGAUGCCAGAAUGAAAAUAGCUGUGCUCCAGAGAGACAAGCAGCUUAUUGGCAAGAAAAGCAGGGCACCCCUGCCAAAGAAGGCCAGGGCCUUGGCAAUCUCGGUUAUGGGCAGCGACUUCAAACAAGCCAGAGGCCUGACCAGAAUUGAGAAAUCUGUGUAACAACCAAAGUGGGAUAUCCAGAACACUAGAUUCAUUGGAUCUCCUUUAAACAUUCUUCCAUAAACAUUUCUCAGGGAUGGGCAGCCUUGACGAUCAGCUGGGCUUCCGGUUCUCUGCACUGCUGGCCAAGAGCUGGUCUAGAUAUUUUGACAAUUUGCUCAGUCACUCAUCUAAUCUGUUCUUAUAAAUGAGUUGUUCGGCAAUCUGUAUGCCUGGUCUGAAUUUAGGCUUAAGGCCUAGUUUGAUCUAAGCUGGUACGGAGAGGAUGGUAGGUUACACAAUUCCAGGGUUUUAUUCAUACUAUAUUCUAAAAUGGAGCUCAAGUCUGUGGAAUGUUUUUAUUAAGGCUAUUUUCUUAUUUUUCAGUAAAAAUGUACAUGAAGGGCAAGAAGGCUUUUAGGAGACGGAUUUAAAUUCAUCCAAGUUUUCAAAGGAAGGCUCACUGGAGAUAGAAAACGUAGUGGUUAAUACAGUGGGCUUUGGAGUCGGAGAUAGCUGGGUUCAAGAAUCUGAUUCUGUAACCUUGGACAUGUGACUUUGCCUUUUUGAGCACCAGUUGCAUUGUCUCUGAAAUAUAAAUACUGAUAACUAUCUUACGGGGCUGUGAGGGCUAAGUAGAAAAUGCAUGUAGAGAAUUUCACUGGCGUCUGGGAUAUGUAUAGUGUCCCAUAAAUGGAAGCAGUUGUAUUUUCAUUUCUAGAUAUCCUAGCAACCAUGCUUACAUUUUGCAUCCUCAGCUGCAUCUUGAAGGAUCUAGAAACAUAAAG